rnacentral:misc_RNA from 1 species
AAGCUCUAUCACUCUUACACCUCUCUUCAAUGCAUUUAUGAUUGGGAUAUCACUGCAAUCGCUGCUAAGUUGGUUUCCAGUUAGGUAGGAAUUGUGACCAGUAUAUAUGAAAUAGUGGGAUAAUGGUUUUGUCAUAUCGUGGUGAACCUGGUCAACUUGGCAAUGUGAAGCCUCUUGUUCAAAAUCUGCUCCACGAUCUUCUCAGCGUCGGCGGUGGACGCAGUGGAAUCACCCUGGACAUCGGCCAAGAAAUUCCGGAGCUGCUCGGCCGUCAUGUGGGCGGCGCCGUCAGUGUACUUCUUGAAGAGAUCCUUGACGUCCGGAGGCGGCCCUGCCUCUACGACUUUAAACUUCCUAAUGAAGCACACACACAUUCUAUAAUUACCCAUUUCCAGAGCGAGAUGAAAGAGACAAAGAUCAGUCGUUUGAGGUGAGAGAGUGUUUGAGCUUCUUAAUCUGUGCGAGGUGCGAUGUUUUGUUGAACGCUUGACCUUCCCGCUCUUUUCUUCAUUAAUUAAUGAAUGAUGAUU